UACGAAGGGGGCUAGCGUUGCUCGGAAUCACUGGGCGUAAAGGGUGCGUAGGCGGGUCUUUAAGUCAGGGGUGAAAUCCUGGAGCUCAACUCCAGAACUGCCUUUGAUACUGAAGAUCUUGAGUCCGGGAGAGGUGAGUGGAACUGCGAGUGUAGAGGUGAAAUUCGUAGAUAUUCGCAAGAACACCAGUGGCGAAGGCGGCUCACUGGCCCGAUACUGACGCUGAGGUGCGAAAGCGUGGGGAGCAAACAGG
rnacentral:rRNA from 1 species